AUGGCUCUUUAGGAAUAAAUGGAGCGGGGGUGUCACCGCUUUGGCUAAGGAUCAUCUAGUCUUUGGUGAUUAGAGUCAAUUGCAUUUUCUAGGUCAGUCCCAAAUUUGAGGCUAUUGCUUUUGUGGAGAGAAAAGAAACCUAAAGUGUGAAAAAUUAAUAAUUACCAGAUUGAAUAAAUAAAAUGUGGAGGAAAAAGCAAUUUACACAAUAUCCUCAUUUUAAAGAAAUUUGUCUUCUCUACCUUGUUUUUCUCAGACUGGACUCAGCGAGAUGACUGGAAAAUUCUCUCAUGGUCACGUUCUCCGUAUAGAGACCAGAAACACUGAACUCACCCAAGCCACCACGUUCAGGACGUCAAGGCAGCAUCUCUGUCCAGAACCAUCAAGUCCAAUGGUGGAUGCUCUCAAGCGGGUGCAGACAUUGCCCGUGGCUUCUCCUGUGUGUGAAGAGCUAGCGAGGAAGAUAUUCCACUGUGCGGUUAAAAAUGAAAUAGAGUUACUGCUGGUAGUUAAGGAAUGAAUCGAUGCACGUAUGCAGAUAAGCAUGAAGACCAAGAGGCCCAUACGUGGACCAAGGUUGUCACGUUGCCUCCGUGUUGGGAAAGAGACAAAGGUUUUCUGGAAGGAUUCCUUCAUUGAUAACGAUGUAAGCUGUUUUCAUGGGAAGGGAAGAACAAGUUGGUGCUAGUGAAUGAACUGAAGUGGUGUUAUCCUUCUGCCCUGGCUCUGAACUCUGUGUCAGGAGCCAAGAGACCAAUAGUGGACCUGCCUGAAGGGGUUUAGCGCCUUCCAUGAUGACAAGCUCUUUGGCGGCAUCUACACAGCAUAAGCGGGAGACCUGGUGUGCAGCCGCCGGACCCGAAGGCAGGCUCCUUCCUGGAUGAGCAGGCGAGGAUGGCAGCGUUGUCUCUGGAUCCAGAAGGCCAGUGGUGGAAGCCGAAGGCCAGGCCAGGCUCCAUGGGGCCGAGACCCCUCCUCUGGCGGUGGUGGCAGGAGAGAUCCCAAGGAGUGGAGCCAUUCCCUGGGGAAGCCCCUGAAAGUGCAACAGUGGGUGUGACAGAGGAGCAGCAAUGUAAGUAAGCAUCAGGAACGUGGCCUUGGUCGCAGAGGUUGGCUGCAGUGUGGACACGAGGAGGAUGGAUGCAGAAGACAUAGCUUAGGUUUUGUGAAUAGCGAAGAGGAGUUUACUUCAAGGAGCACCUUCUAGAAUUGAUCCACAAAGAAGACAGACACAGGGGAGGAUAGAGGAAAGGUAUCGGGUCGAUGAUGACUGCUGGUGCGUGUAUGAGUCUUGUAUGAUGAAUACACAUCAGGAACUCUGAGAUCCAAUGCUGAUGCCGCUGAGUCCAAAGUCCUCCGGAAACUGAGCCAGGAGAACAUGGCUGCUCAGGCGGGACGGAGGGCCCCACUCCAUGGGGAAGGAGGGGUGAGCAGUUCAGGAGGUGGCCGGGUCUUGAGCUCAUCCACACACGUCUGGCUUGGCUUCCUCUCAAGGAGGCCAUGGUGGGCCUGAGAGGCAUGGAGCCCGGAGUGGGUGUCUGGUUGGAGCCCCAUGAGGCAGUGGUGGGGACUGGUAGAGGAUGAGGCCAGGCCAGUGAGGAACGCCCUGUCUGGACCCCUGAGGUCGCAGAGCCUCCAGAGUCCACUGUGGGCUGGGCUGGGCUCCUUUGGGAGUGGGCUGGGAGUGGACCCAGUCCCGAUCUCGUUUGCUCAGGGGCUGGAGACCUUCAGGGGCCAGGGACCUCCGUCGUCAAUGUUUGGGUCCCGGCCGGGAUGGACUUGGGUGAUGGAGAAGCCUGAUCCAGUGACUCUUCAGUGGGAAGACCGGGGCGCAGGGAAGAAGGUGUCACGAGACCGGCCUGGUGGAUGCAGGUUAUCUGAUGGAUGGCUCAAGGGGGCCCGGACUCUGUCCUGGCAGGGAUCUGUGUCCUUGUGAAGAAACGGUGGUCCCGUUUAAGGGACUGAGUGCAGCCCAGCCCCAGCCUGACCUUCAACCCCCAAGCCCUGAGGUUCUGCCUCCUUGGGCUCGUAGCAGAAUCACCUGGACCCCGGGGAAGGAGCAGAACCGGCUGACGCUUGAGUCCGCUGAGUGCAGAAAGGGCGAGUCAGUGGCGGUCCUCCUCGCUUUCCCUGUCUCUCUGUCACUGUCCCUGACUCUCUGUCUCGGUGGCUCUGCCUCGGUCUGUCCCUCUUGUCUCUCGCCUGGCUCUCUCUGUCGCCGUACGGGUCUCUUUCCUUUCUGGCAGCUUCGCGUCUGUGUGGUGGGGUGCACACCAGACCCCGGCGAGCCGAUUGGGCCCGUUUCCCUGGUGAGACCCCUAGACGAUUCCUUCAGUGGGGGAGAUGGCCAAGGAAGCAGUGUGGCAGGCAGCCGCCAGGCCCGAAGGCCGGCUCCUUCCUGGAUGAGCAGGCGAGGAUGGCAGCGUUGUCUUUGGAGCCAGGGGACCAGUGGUGGAAGCCGAAGGCCAGGCCAGGCUGCGUGGGGCCGAGACCCCUCCUCUGGCGGUGGUGGCAGGAGAGAUCCCAAGGUGAGGCAUGGCCUCGGGCUGUCUUGGUUUGGGUCAUCGGGGCCAGUGUUUUCCAUGUCUUUAAAAUGUCCUAUGUAG
rnacentral:lncRNA from 9 species